GAUGAAGAACGCAGCGAAAUGCGAUAAGUAAUGUGAAUUGCAGAAUUCAGUGAAUCAUCGAAUCUUUGAACGCACAUUGCGCCCCCUGGUAUUCCGGGGGGCAUGCCUGUCCGAGCGUCAUUACAACCCUCAAGCUCAGCUUGGUGUUGGGCCCCGCCGCCCCGGCGGGCCCUUAAGUCAGUGGCGGUGCCGUCCGGCUCCGAGCGUAGUAAUUCUUCUCGCUCUGGAGGUCCGGUCGUGUGCUCGCCAGCAACCCCCAAUUUUUUUCAGGUUGACCUCGGAUCAGGUAGGGAUACCCGCUGAACUUAAGCAUAUCAAUAAGCGGAGGA
rnacentral:misc_RNA from 1 species